rnacentral:rRNA from 1 species
AAUCGUACCGCAAACCAACACAGGUUAGUUAUUGUAAAGGCUGUAUAAAACCAGGAUAAAGGAACUCGGCAAAAUAGGUUAUGUUUUCGUACAAAACCACAACAAAAGUAGUGACUGUUUACCAAAAACACAAGACUCUGCUAACACUUAUAGUGGAAGUAUAGUGUCUGAUACCUGCCCAAAGGCAAAGCAAACGGCAGCUGUAACUCUAACGGCUCUAAGGUAGCAAAAUUCCAUGGCAUUUAAAUGAUGUCCCGCAUGAAUGGUAUAACAACUUCUUAACUGUCUCUAUUCUGGAUUAGGCGAACUUUAAAUGCUUGUGCAGAUGCAGGCUAGCUAACAAGGGACGAAGAGACCCUAUGCAGCUUUAGGGCAGGUUAUUAUUCAAUAAACUACCUUUUUUCUGGGACGGACGCUCUUAUUAAAGAAACAAGAGUGAGCAAUGGUUUUUACUAAUUAUAAAAAAGAAAAGCUUAACUGCAAUACAAACAAUUAAAGCAGGGGCAUUGUCGGCAAUAAUGCAUUGAAGAAAUA